CUUUCAUACAUUAUUUAGCCAUGAGGGUGAUAAAGCCUGUCAUAACUGCCUGUAGUCCUGCAUCUGGGUUUAGCAAAUUCAGGCACAUAAAUAUGGCUUAUCAGAACAGAUCAGGAUUUGGUUGAUUUCAAGGUUCUCCAGUUUCCUCCCAGUACCCCAAAGCAUGCUGGUAGGUGAAUUACCCCUACUGUAGGUGUGAAUGAUAAGGUAACACCAUAAUUAAGGCCCAGUGUUCCCAGGAUUUGUUCCGGAUCCAAAUCAACCCUGAUCAGAAUAAAGCAGACACCAAGAUGUCUCCAGAUACCAGGCCUGAGCUUGAAGACAUGAGUGAUGUGGUUGCAGAAAGCACAGUAGCAAAUCCAGCACAGAAAACUGCAGGCUCUGGCCUUACUGAAAAUAAAGGGUGAACCAUCUAUGGCUUGAGUUGAGUGAUGUUUUCUCAUGUGUAUUCCUUAUGACUGAGCAAGCAGGGUUAAGAGAGAGUGCAUGUCUUUACUUGAUUGAUAAAACUGUCUAAACAUCCCACUGAAAUGGGCUGAAAACAUUGUGCUGACUGAGCGUACACUGUGGUGCUUUUCAUCACACGUGUGCAGCAAUCUCCUGCGCUUUCCCACACUGUCUAGUGCACAAGGCCACAGCAUGGAAAGCCAUUUCAGAAGUAGACACGGCUUAGCUGGUGGUCACCAAUGUGUUCCU